UCCAACUUUAGACAGAGAUCACAUGAAAACGACUCCUAAUAGAUGAGUUUGCUCCUGAGCUAUAAAAACAGAAGCCAGGGGAGAAGGAAAGAAAAUGGGGAGGACAGAAGCUGCUGGUUGAAAAGUUGGAAGGCCUUGGUUUCUUAGACCAAUAACUGAGAGAGGCAGCAGGCUGACCCUGAGAGAUGGAGAUCACUCUGUACCUGAGUCUCUUGAAGCUGACCUGGGUUUGAUGGAGUCACCACAAGAGAGGCUGGUAUGGGAAAACACCCGGAGCAUCCGCAGCCAGUCAGUCAUCAUUGCAUGCCUUAGAAUAUUCUGGAAAGAAGAAACCAGAGUUACCAGAUUGAGCUCAAUACGGCAACUCCUGAUGGGGAGUGGGACAAGGAAGGAUCUCUGGAGCGUGGGAUGAGACACAUAGCACUGAGCCUGCUUCAUGGGAGAAGGUUGGGAAAUACACGGGAAGAGCUUCAUUCAUACAUGGAUUUAACAAGAGAUGAUUAAAUAUCUACUCACAAGAUCUAUGCUUGCAGCACAGACUUCCGAAGGAGCUCAAAACCCUUCCCUGUAAUCACUUACUUAGGAUGCUAAGUGGGAGUUGAACUGCAUGAAAGAGAGUGCAAGACCUGAACCCCAGAUGACUAGAAGGUGAAAUCUGCACCCCAUUAGAGAUCAGAGAAGAGAGAAAAAUUUUCAAGGAGGUUCACUGCUGCCCUGAACAUCUCAGAUAAUCUAAAGUGAGAAUAUGGGAGUGGGACUAAGAACGAGCUUCAAAAAUGGCUUGCUAGGGCCACAAGACUAGAAGACAAAAAUAUAGGCAAAAGAGUUUCAUAGGAGGGGCUAGAGAGAUGGCUCAGCCACUGACUGCUCUUACAGAGAGGUCCUGAGUUCAAUUCCCAGCAACCACAUGGUGGCUCACAACCAUCUGUAAUGGGAUCUGACACCCUCUUCUGGUGCGUCUGAAGAUAACUACAAUGCACUCAUAUAAAAUAAAUAAACUUUUAAGGGGAGUUUUACAGAUGAGAAAUAGUUCAGCUCUAACGA